rnacentral:lncRNA from 1 species
GUCGAUGGAAACUGGAAAUGGUGGGGAAAAUUCAUGGCCACAACGAGUGUUCUUGACUCUCGAGCAACAAGGAGGCUCUCCGACGAACGGGAAGGGACGAUAUUGAAUCAGAUCAGGAAAAAUCUCAGUACAAUUGGGAUGCUCUAUGCUAUUGGUCCGGCGAUUUGGAGACAUACGGUUUGCAAAACCCUUUGUGACACAAUGGCAUGCCAAACUCUUUUAAGCUGAACAAAUUGUACACUAGACUAUACCAGGAUUAUGCACUUUUAAAGUGUGUAUAUAAACACACUUAGAGAGUUGCUCAAAUAAAAACCUAAGGUUUCGUUUGGACUCUCCACACUUAGAGACUUGCUGUAAACACUUACCCAAACCUUAUGUAGUAUUCUCCAAACCUUAGGUAUAUUCCAC